UACGAAGGGGGCUAGCGUUGCUCGGAAUUACUGGGCGUAAAGCGCACGUAGGCGGUCUUUUAAGUCGGGGGUGAAAUCCUGGAGCUCAACUCCAGAACUGCCUUCGAUACUGAAAGACUCGAGUCCGGGAGAGGUGAGUGGAACUGCGAGUGUAGAGGUGAAAUUCGUAGAUAUUCGCAAGAACACCAGUGGCGAAGGCGGCAUCCUGGACCGACACUGACGCUGAGGAGCGAAAGCCAGGGGAGCAAACGGG
rnacentral:rRNA from 1 species